rnacentral:rRNA from 1 species
UACGUAGGGGGCAAGCGUUGUCCGGAAUCAUUGGGCGUAAAGCGCGUGUAGGCGGCCCGAUAAGUCCGCUGUGAAAGUCCAGGGCUCAACCCUGGGAUGCCGGUGGACACUGUCGGGCUCGAGUCCGGAAGAGGCGAGUGGAAUUCCUGGUGUAGCGGUGAAAUGCGCAGAUAUCAGGAGGAACACCAAUGGCGAAGGCAGCUCGCUGGGACGUGACUGACGCUGAGACGCGAAAGCGUGGGGAGCAAACAGG